GGAUGUAGAUGCCCAUAUCCCUAAUUAUCCGAAUCUUCCUUCAAAGCUAUUAUGUCUCCUUCAUAAUGUGACCUUGCAUGCGGACCCGGAAACAGAUGAAGUUUAUGCUCAGAUGACCCUCCAACCUGUUCCUUCUUUUGACAAAGAUGCAUUACUGAGAUCAGAUCUUUCACUGAAGUCAAAUAAAGCACAAACAGAGUUUUUCUGUAAAACAUUAACAGCAAGUGACACAAGUACUCAUGGAGGCUUUUCUGUGCCCCGUCGUGCGGCUGAGAAGAUUUUCCCCCCUCUUGAUUUCUCCAUGCAACCGCCUGCCCAAGAACUUGUAGCUAGGGAUUUGCAUGACAAUGUCUGGACUUUCCGUCAUAUCUAUCGUGGACAACCAAAGCGUCACUUGCUUACAACAGGUUGGAGCCUGUUUGUUAGUGGAAAGAGGCU
rnacentral:misc_RNA from 1 species